rnacentral:lncRNA from 1 species
AGAUCAACAUAGAUCUUGAGCUUGAAAUGUUUCCAAAUGACAAAACCAAACUAUUUUGUUUUAUUUUAAAAAUCUUCCUUUUUGGAGCUUUUUUUCAAUAGAGUGGUAGAAAGAUUAUAGAAUAUAAACUUAAAAAUUUUUAAAGUUUUCAAGCGUUUGAAUGAAAAUGUUUCCUGAUUAAAGGCAAGCUCUGCGUGAGUUUUCAUUUGUCGGUUGGUUCCCUUCACACGUUCUCCGGAGCCUGGCUUUCUUCUCUGUGCUUUGUGCCACCUGGUUUGCAGCUGAACAAAGAACAAUCCUCUCCAUUUUGCAUUAGUCUUGCUUGAAGAGUUCGUAAGAAAACAGUGAUGCCAAAUGUGGCAGGCUCUUGAGAAAGUGUAAUUACACAGAAACAAAUAGGGUAUGUGUUAGCCUAAAUACGUCUGGAGUGAUUUAUUAUUUUUGUUACAGUUCAAUAAGUUUUCGUCUUUGAUGUAGAGAUUUUCAUUGAGCAAAAUGUAUGGUAAAUUCUAACAGGAAAAUAAGCAUUAUAACAGCCUGGACCCUGGAGCCAGACUGCCUGGGUGUGACGUGGUCCUUACUAGUUAUAUGACUUGGGUUAGGUUUCUUGACCUCUCAGUGCCUCAGUUUCCUCAGCUAUAAGAUAUAACAGCAGUACUUACCUCCCAAGUAUCAAAUGCGUUCACUUUUUAAAGCCCUUAGAACAAUAGCUGGCACAUCGUCAAUGCUACGUUAAGUACUAAUAAAUAUCUGUUAAAUAAAUAAGCUGGGCAAGGAGAAAGAUCUGAAUCUUUAUUUUCUCAUAUACUUUCCCUUCAUAGCUACCAUCCAUGCCUUUCUUCUUAGUCUUUCUAUUCUGUAACAAUUAACCAUCUUUUUCCUAUCCCUUUUGCUCAGAUAUACUCUUUCUCGUGCUUCCACCAUUAUAGAGAAAACAAGAAUCAAAGGAUCAUAGAGCAGGCAAGUAUUUCUAAUGGGGUUUCGUCCUUUCAUCUACAAGGAAAAGGAACUGAGAUCCAGACAGAUUAACUGACAUGUCUAGGAUCAAACAGCUAAUAAGCGGUCACCUCUUAUCAGACAUUCAAAGGCUGCUCUCCUCCAAGGCACAUUAUUUCUGCUAGUGAACUUGCCUGUUAUGCCCACUCCUUCUCCCUCGUCCUCCUCCUUCUUUCUUCUCUCUCUCUCUGUCUGGAGACUAGACCUCACUCCAGUGGAGGGUUGGAAACAGCUUCUUGCUCUAGUCUGUUCUUAAUGACCUUUCUCAUCUGGCUCCUUGAAUUCCCUUUUGUUGGCACAAACAACAUGUCCACAUUCUGAAACAAAAAUGAAAGCCCAGGGUAGGAUAAGAGCUUUUUACCUUUUUAAAAAACUGAUAUGUGAAUUGUUAUAUGCUGAAUGAGUUCAGAAAGCAGGAAAUUUAAAUCACAGGUGAUUUUGCAUUUAGAGAACUAACUUUCUUUAAAAAAAUGAAGUGACAUGAAAUCAG